AACCUUUUUUGGGAGGAAAUGGGUAUAGGUGUUGUCUAAACACUCCUAAUCCAUCUCUAACUCUUAGAAUUAGUCAUAGGCUUUGGAUUGUGACACAUUUUGACCAUAGAAACACUAACAAAGCUAUUUACUGCUUCUAAGCAAUUUUUUGUUGGUUUUAGCCUCUUUUGGGAGAAAAUGGGUUUAAGUGUUGUCUAAAUACUCCUAAUCCAUCUUUAACUCUUAUAAUUAGUCAAAUGCAUUGGAUUGUGACACAUUCUGACCAUAAAAACACUAACAAAAGUGUUUUCUGCUUCUAAGCAAUUUUUUGUUGGUUUUAGCCUCUUUUGGGUGAAAAUGGGUAUAAGUGUUGUCUAAACACUCCUAAUCUAUCUCUAACUCUUAUAAUUAGUCAAAGGCUUUGGAUUGUGAUACAUUUUGACCAUAUAAACACUAACAAAGCUAUUUACUGCUUCUAAGCAAAUUUUUGUUGGUUUUAGCCUCUUUUCAGAGAAAAUUGGUAUAAGUGUUGUCUAAACACUGCUAAUCUAUCUCUAACUCUUAUAAUUAGUCAAAUGCAUUGGAUUGUGACACAGUUUGACAAUUGAAACACUAACAAAUAUAUUGAGUGCUUCUAAGCAAAUUUUUGUUGGUUUUAGCCUCUUUUGGGAGAAAAUGGAUAUAAUUGUUGUCUAAACACUCCUAAUCCAUCUCUAACUCUUAUAAUUAGUCAAAGGCUUUGGAUUGUAACAUAUUUUGACCAUAGAAAAACUAACAAAGCUAUUUACUGCUUCUAAGCAAUUUUUUGUUGGUUUUAGCCUCUUUUGGGAGAAAAUGGGUUUAAGUGUUGUCUAAACACUCCUAAUCCAUCUUUAACUCUUAUAAUUAGUCAAAUGCAUUGGAUUGUGACACAUUCUGACCAUAAAAAACACUAACAAAAGUGUUUUCUGCUUCUAAGCAAUUUUUUGUUGGUUUUAGCCUCUUUUGGAGU
rnacentral:sRNA from 1 species